UCCCUGGACGACUAGUGGUUAGGCCACAGCGCUCUCACCACUGUGGCCCAGGUUCGAUUCCCGGCCAGGGAA
rnacentral:tRNA from 1 species